ACUGCAAAUCCAGGUUAGCUGAUGGCUCGGAGUGUUUCUCUGGAGGAAGCUGUCUUUGGAGAGCACUUAUUCUGGGAGAAGCAAGCCCUAUUGUGAGCAGCCUUAUGGAGAGCUCCACGUGGUAAGGAAAUGAAGUUUCCAGCCAACGGCCAGCAAGGAACUGAGCCCUGUCAACAAGAAUAAAUGUACUUUAACUGGAUCUUGAGCCUCAAGGUGACUGCAGCCCCGGCCAACAACUUGGCUGUAACUUCAUGAGAGACUCUGAGCCAGAACCCCCAAGGUAUCAGGGUGAACGAUUCUGGCCUGGAAGCAGUUCAGUCAGCUGAACCACUCAAAGGGCCUGGUCACACCUGUGUCUCGCCUUCGUGCCUCGGUUUCUGCAGAAACAAUGCACAAAGGUCUUCUUGUAAAAUUCCAAGGUAUAAAUGUAUGUGAAGCAAGACAUGAAAGAUCCCACUUUUUCCUCAAAUGUUUAAGAGUGAAAAUCCACGUGGAACCUGGCGACGCCAUGAAGAGUCCAGUUGAAGGUGAAAAGUGUCCCAGGCCGUGGGAAGCAGGUGAGAGAAGAGAGCACAGCACUGUCCUUCCUCCCAGUGGAUGUGGUAACAAUGCCUGGGACAGGAUUUGCUUUUAGACACCAUCUAACAGGCAUACAUUAAGAAUUAUCUGUUAUCUCGUAAGACUUUUUUGUUUGUUUUUUAAGAAGAAGGUACAGAGAUUUCUUGUAUAAGCCCCUGCCCACGCACCUGCAUAGCUACC